ACAAGAUUUCUUUUGUUAGGCAUUUUAUUUUUGUAGCACUGCAAUUUUUUUGUUUAAAAAUUAAAACACUCAUAUAUAUAUAAAUAUAUAUAACGUACCACUUUGUAUCUUAGGCAAUAUAAUAACGACGGCUUGUUUACAUCAUAUAUUUAAAAACAUAAAAUAUUUUUAUUUAUAAUUUCAUAUACUAUUUUUUUUAACAAUUUAGUAAUGGACCUUAAAAUUAAUUCCUCAGAUUCAAUGAUUUCCUUGGGACAUUAUUCAGUUUCAAACAAAAAAUUUAAAGAAAAGGCAAAACAAUUAAUUCUCAAUUUACCAGAAAAACUAGAAGAAAUAUCCGAAAAUUAUAAAGAAAUCAAAAUAAAUGAAGAUAUCUUUAAAUUUGAGGUACUAAAAAAAACUAAAGUGACAUUAACAAAACUGUAACUAUUGAUGAUUUAAUACAUUUAACGAAUGUAAAAUCAAAAAAUCAAAAAAUAGCCUUUAAAAAAAUGUUGAAUGCUAAAGAAAAAAAAAUACCUCAUGAUAUAAUUGAAUUGGUGAAUCAUCAAUAUUUAUAUAACAAUUUGAAUAAACAUUAUAGAAGGUAUAAUUUAGAUAUAAAAGAAAUGGAUAAUAUAAAACUAUCGACUUUGAAUACUGAUAAACAGUGGUCAAUUAACAAUAGUAUUAGACGAGAUUAUAAUGACUACAUGCGCAAAGUCCGUCAAUUUAGACAAGUAAAAAAAUCGUAUUCGCAAUUUAUUGAGUACAUAGAAAAUCGACUAAAAAAUAUUAAAGAUGAAGUGAAUAUUGAAAUAACUAACACAAAAGUUCCAAAAAAUGAAUUGUGUACGCAUGUAUAUGAAGGUAUAGAGAAUGAAGUACUAAGACUAUUGAAACGCACCUCUGUCAACCGUAGGAGUGCAAAAGCUGCUACCCAACAGAUUGAUGAUACCUAAACAAAAACCACCGAAGAAACCGAAGAAGCCAACACUAAAUAAUGAGCCGCUCAUGUAUUUAAAAUGUUUUACGAAUUUAUCUCCUACAGACAUCAUCAGUAAUAUAACUGCAGUGCCCAAGUUCAAGAUUGAAUGAAAUAAUAUUCAGUCAAAAUUAUGAAAAUACACCAAAAAAAAAUACUUGUCAACAGGUUGCUCGAUAAUCGAUUUACACUAUAAUAACAAAUUUGGAGUAUCUACUUUGAAUGGUUAGAAAUUUUAACAGGAUUUGAAAAACGUGCAAAUUCCCCAAACUAAAUUGGAGCGUUAGGUGAAUAGCAUUAACUUAAUGUUAAUAAUCAAAUCAGUGGCAGUGUAUUAAAAUUCAAAAUACAGAUUACUUACCAUUUUUAAAUACCUGUGCUCGUGUUCUCGCCAUGCGUUGAACGCUGUCCGUAGAAAAAUGAUAAUGUUAUAAUAUAAUAUUCGAUAUUGUAUCAAUAGAA